CAGGGAGACAACAAAAUGUUUAAUAUUAUUAUUUUGUCACCUUAGGUCGAUCGGUAUCUCACGUUCUUAAUUUAUUAAGAAUUUCAUUUCCUAAGUUUUUCUAGGUCACACCCAUUAUUUUUCCUGGGCCAUUAGCUCAGGUGGUUAGAGCGCACCCCUGAUAAGGGUGAGGUCCCUGGUUCAAGUCCAGGAUGGCCCAUAUCUCUAUGUUGGGGGUAUAGCUCAGUUGGUAGAGCGCCUGCUUUGCAAGCAGGAUGUCAGCGGUUCGAGUCCGCUUACCUCCACUGAUUACCACCUCUUCCAUAAUCUGUAGAAAGGAAAUUUUUUGAGUUGUGAUCAAUUUCUGAACGAAUCUAGCUUCCUAAUGAAAUCAUUAAGAUGCUGGACUCAGUGAAUUAAUUUCAUUGUUUUCAGAGAACCUUGACAACUGCAUAGAUUAUUUUUUAAAGACAAUAAGCAUCUUUAAUGAUGCAGAUUUUUAUUUGUGCGAAUGCAUUAAUAACAAUUCUAUUAAGCUGAUGCUUCAAUUUUGAAGUUAUU
rnacentral:tRNA from 1 species